UACGUAGGGUGCGAGCGUUAAUCGGAAUUACUGGGCGUAAGCGUGCGCAGGCGGUUUUGUAAGCCAGGUGUGAAAUCCCCGGGCUCAACCUGGGAAUGGCAUUUGGGACUGCAAGGCUGGAGUGCGGCAGAGGAGACUGGAAUUCCUGGUGUAGCAGUGAAAUGCGUAGAUAUCAGGAGGAAUACCGAUGGCGAAGGCAGGUCUCUGGGCUGACACUGACGCUCAUGACACGAAAGCG
rnacentral:rRNA from 1 species